rfam:Streptococcus pneumoniae 2070335 gspj15.contig.16, whole genome shotgun sequence.
GAAAAACGGAUAUAAUGUAUUUGAAGAUGUUGCUAGCAGAAAGAACUUAAUAAGCUUCUUAACAUCGCAGUGA